rnacentral:sRNA from 1 species
UAUCUAAUUAAUUUAGCCUCGACGUGAUA